rnacentral:tRNA from 1 species
GCUGGAGUGGCGGAACUGGCAGACGCACCAGACUCAAAAUCUGGCGCUGUGCAAACGGCGUGAGGGUUCGACUCCCUCCUCCAGCACCA